UCUCUGCUAAACAGUUAGGUGAUGUAUAGGGGCUGUCGCCUGACCGGUGCUGGAAGGUUAAGAGGAGUGGUUAGCUUCUGCGAAGCUACGUAUCGAAGCCCCAGUAAACGGCGGCCGUAACUAUAACGGUCCUAAGGUAGCGAAAUUCCUUGUCGGGUAAGUUCAGACCCUCACGAAAGGCGUAACGAUUUGGGCACUGUCUCAACGAGAGACUCGGUGAAAUCAUAG
rnacentral:rRNA from 1 species